rnacentral:rRNA from 1 species
AGCAGCCGCGGUAAUUCCAGCUCCAAUAGCGUAUAUUAAAGUUGUUGCAGUUAAAAAGCUCGUAGUUGAAUUUCGGGAUCAAUACUUCGGUCGUGCUUUUUGGUACGUACUGGGGUUAUUGGUUUCUCCCUUCUGACGAACCAUGAUGUCAUUAAUUUGGUGUUAUGGGGAGUUAGGACUGUUACUUUGAAAAAAUUAGAGUGUUUAAAGCAGGCAUUAGCUUGAAUACAUUAGCAUGGAAUAAUGAAAUAGGACGUUCGAUCCUAUUUUGUUGGUUUCUAGGAUCAACGUAAUGAUUAAUAGGGAUAGUUGGGGGCAUUAGUAUUCAAUUGUCAGAGGUGAAAUUCUUGGAUUUAUUGAAGACUAACUACUGCGAAAGCAUUUGCCAAGGAUGUUUUCAUUAAUCAAGAACGAAAGUUAGGGGAUCGAAGACGAUCAGAUACCGUCGUAGUCUUAACCAUAAACUAUGCCGACUAGGGAUCGGAUGAUGUUAAUUUUUUAAUGACUCAUUCGGCGCCUUACG